GAGACUUUCACACACAGCCUGAGCAAGGGGAACCUGGCAGGGCAGUGCCAAGUAGAAAAGCCCAGAGUGAACUGCGUUUUCAUUCCUCCUUCUGGGGUUCUUAACAUCUGUUGCAUAACAGGAGUGACUGUGUGCUCUGCCUCGGCAUGCAGCCCCCCGACAAGCACUCAGCCUUCAGAAACUGCCUGAGACGUGGUCCUUCGGGAGCGGGCUAAUGCGCUAGUCGGUGGGGAAGAGGAAGUCAUGAUGUGACACCGAAACCCAGGCGCAUGGAAAUGCAGCUUGGCUCAUUCAAACUGGCUCUCUCCCCACAGUAAUUCCAGGACAGCAGAAAACGCAGACAAAUAAGAGAAAGGGACAGCCAGCAGGGCCCGUCUUGGGCUGCAGCAAAGAUAAGCUGGCGUCCAGGACAGACAAGGCCCGUGGGCUGUAGGUGGCCGACGCCGAUGCUUGCUCCCCGCUGUGGACUUCACCCUGGUCCUCUGUGCCUGCCUGCUCUCUUCCAGCAAGGAGCCAUUGCUCACACGCAGUUCAAAUUUCCACUUCUUUAGGGACAAGGAAUGAACUCGCCUGGGUCAGAAAACCCACCCAGAGAGUCCCCACUUAACAGUUCACUCCUACUCUGAGAAUCCCCAAAUCUCAAUGACCCCAGUUUCCCUAAUGGGUAAAACGAUCCCAGAUGUGCCCUGGGACCAGAAGCCCGAAGCUCCAGUUUCACGCAGGAAAUUGUUUCUGGAGAGGUACAGCAAGCCAGAGAGCCACUUACUGGCUUUUGACAUGACUGCUCUUGGAGAGUAAGUAGACGCCGAGCUGGCUGUCUGCAAAAGUAAACACAUGUCCAUCUUGUGUUAGAUGCACAGUGCGUGUGUGGCCACAGCAGGCCAGCUUCUCCUCUGCAGGUUGUGAGCUAGUGAGGGGUGUGCUGUCGGCUUCAGGCCCAGGUUGUGGCUGUACAGUAGUUCUUGAGUUUGAAGCGUGUAGUAUUUAGAUAGAAAUUUCAGCUGUGCUUGGUACCCAUCAAAGCAGUGUAUGCCAAAGAAAAAAGACCAAAGAAGCAAAGGCAGCGCGAAGGCUGUCGUCUUCAGGACGAGAAGAGGAGAGAAUAUCUGCUGGUUUUGAGCUCGGGUGUGUCGCACAGAGCUUGUACUUUGUCCCUGGACUGGGCCUGUGGGCCUGUGGGUCCUUAUAGACACCAGGCCCGUGCACUGUGACAGCCUUGUUUGCAGGAAGCCAGCUAUAAAGACAGCCCCCAGCUCAAGGCUAUUAGGUUGAAUAUUUGCUUUCAUGAAUAAAUGUGGAUCUUUGGGGAGUGGCUUCAAAAUAACCCACAAACACAAACUCUUUAUAAAUUAUGUAAAUUCCUAUUUAUCUAUGAAAUUGGCAACGUCUGGGAAUUGUAACUCCCGAUGGUUCUUCUACUGUGCUCUUCUGGCCGAGCUACACUCACAGCUAGUGUGAGGGACUGGGACUCUGCCACCUUUACUGGGCACAUGGGGAGUGGCCGCCCACCUCCCCACCUGGUCACAGAGCCAUGAGAACCGCCUUGCCUUGGGGCAGUGCCAGGGGGUCUGUAUGGGGAAAUUUGAGGUGGUACACGAUACAACAUUGGCCUUAACCAGAUGUCAAACUCGGGAGGAGCAUUUCAGAAGUUAUUAUGGGUGUGAAAGUGCGUGCCUGUCAUGAGGAAGUGAAAGCAAACUGAUUUGCUAGGAGGAGUUUGUACAGUUUAGAGAGGCAAUUAUUUAUUGGGGAGCUGUUCUCUACUUCACUUCCUUUAUGGGAUCUGUUAAAAGUUAAGUCACUGUAUAGAUAUGGAGAGAUUUUAAAUUGCCUUCUGAAUCCAAACUAAUAUCCCUUCGAGCUUGAAUUACAUUUUAAAAAUGCGUAUCCACUGUUUGGCACAGUGGCAAGAUAGUAUUUCGGAGAGAAAUUCAUUCGUUGUGCAAACACUCAGAAAUUACUAACUGUCAAAUGCAUAAUAAAAAAAAUCCAAGAGUUUGCUCUGA
ensembl:lncRNA